rnacentral:lncRNA from 1 species
CCCUAUUACAGUAGAAAAUUCAAUAAAAAAAAAAAAAAAAAAAAUCGGGAAAAUUUCCCGAAUUUUUCAUUGUACUAAUGAACUCAAAAUCGUUCAAAUUUCCGGAUCUGCGCAGAACACAUAACUCUACUUCCUUCUUCCGGUCUUGUUGUCGUGAUACUUUGAUUAGUCUAGUAAAAUAUAGGAACUCAAGGAACACAAUACCAAUAUUACAUUUUUAAUCAUUUUUUGUCUUUGGUAUGGAUAAACGUUAGGCCUACCUGAUGCAUUGCGUUUCUUUGUUUACAUUGAACAUGACGUCAUAAC